rnacentral:rRNA from 1 species
UAGUCCACGCCGUAAACGAUGGAUACUAGGUGUCGCGGGAGUUGACCCCUGCGGUGCCGUAGCUAACGCAUUAAGUAUCCCGCCUGGGGAGUACGCACGCAAGUGUGAAACUCAAAGGAAUUGACGGGGGCCCGCACAAGCGGUGGAACAUGUGGUUUAAUUCGGUGCAACGCGAAGAACCUUACCAGGUCUUGACAUACCUAUCAUACGAAGUAGAGAUACUUUGGUCAGUUCGGCUGGAUAGGAUACAGGUGCUGCAUGGCUGUCGUCAGCUCGUGUCGUGAGAUGUUGGGUUAAGUCCCGCAACGAGCGCAACCCUCGCCGUUAGUUGCCAGCACUUCGGGUGGGAACUCUAACGGGACUGGCCUGUGAAAGCAGGAGGAAGGCGAGGAUGACGUCUAGUCAGCAUGGUCCUUACGAUCUGGGCUACACACGUGCUACAAUGGCAGGUACAGAGCGCAGCCACUUCGCGAGAAGGCGCUAAUCGCUUAAAG